rnacentral:rRNA from 1 species
GAUGAACGCUGGCGGCGUGCCUAAUACAUGCAAGUCGAGCGGACGGACGAGAAGUUUGCUUCUCUGAUGUUAGCGGCGGACGGGUGAGUAACACGUGGAUAACCUACCUAUAAGACUGGGAUAACUUCGGGAAACCGGAGCUAAUACCGGAUGAUAUUUUGAACCGCAUGGUUCAAAAGUGAAAGACGGUCUUGCUGUCACUAAUAGAUGGAUCCGCGCUGCAUUAGCUAGUUGGUAAGGUAAUGGCUUACCAAGGCAACGAUGCAUAGCCGACCUGAGAGGGGGAUCGCCCACACUGGAACUGAGACACGGUCCAGACUCCUACGGGAGGCAGCAGUAGGGAAUCUUCCGCAAUGGGCGAAAGCCUGACGGAGCAACGCCGCGUGAGUGAUGAAGGUCUUCGGAUCGUAAAACUCUGUUAUUAGGGAAGAACAUAUGUGUAAGUAACUGUGCACAUCUUGACGGUACCUAAUCAGAAAGCCCCGGCUAACUACGUG